GUGGCCUUGAAUGCUGAGGUGGAUCCAAAAGAGGAGCAGCUGGAGACUGGCCAGCCAGCAACAUUUUUCACAAUUGAUUGAUUGAUUUAUCAGAGAUUGAGAGAGAGUGCGUGAGUGCGCAAGCAGGGGAAGCAGCAGGCCGAGGGAGAAGCAGACACCCUGCUGAGCAAGGAAUCUGAUGCUGGACUCUAUCCCAGGACCCUGGGCUCAUGACCCGAGCUGAAGGCAGAUACUUAAGCGACUGAGCCACCCAGGCAUUCCAGAAAUGCCCCAUUUUCAACCAAAAAUUAUGACAUAUGGAAAGAAACUAUGGUCCAUACAUAGAAGGAAAGAAAGCAUUCAAUGGAAACUGUACCUGAGGGAAGAGCAAAUGAUUAGUAGACAAACACUUUAAACCAGCUAUUUAAAAUAUGUUCAAAGAAUUAAGAGAAAACUAUAAAGAACUAAUAAAAUAAUGUUUGAGAACAAUGUCUCAUCAAAUUGAGAAUAUCAAUAAAAAGAUAAAAAGUA